CAAGCCCUGCCUUUUGACAGCUCUGGGAACAGGGGUCUUGGGUAACGGUGAGGUGGGACUUGCGCAGGGCAAGGGUGUGUGGAGAGGAGAAGCAGGAAAUUCCUGGUCUGCCAUGGGGUGGGGCAUUCCUGGGACAGACCAGCUCAGACUUCUCCUGAGGCAGCCCCCAGCCAAGCACACAGAAAUGGUCUUCUGCUGUGAACAGUGAGCAGCUUUCAGCAGCUACAGAAAGAGCUACCCAGUGCCUUGCUCAGCAAAAUUUUGGAGAGAGCACUUGUGGACCUGAGCUAGUGUGGCAAAGGGCUCAGGCAUUAGAGUCAGAAGAACGCAGGUUUGAAUUCCGGCAUUUCCUGUGCAAGAACUUAAGCAAGUAAAUGACAUUUCCCCUCAGCCUUGCUCAGCCUGUUUCCUCGCCUGUGAAAUACCUUCCUCUCCUCUGCGUGUGAGUGAUGGCCUUCAACAAUCUCCAACAGUGGCUGUUUUUAAUAGAUCUCCUUUCACUCUGUUGGUUUGUUUUUCUAUCCUUACCGUGAGUUCAGUACCCAAGAACUGGUUGUCUUGUUUCUGUUUUUAAAAGCAGCUUUGGCAACAAAUAAGUAAACAUGAGUAUGUUCUAUCACUGAGCUUGGCUCUAGAAAACCUUUUUAUGUGUUAAAGCUCAUAAUGACAACAAUGACUGCUAGACUGAUAAAGCAGCAUGUGGAGGACACAGAUGUUAUCAUGACUUCUUAAUGUGUCAGUCCCCAUUUUAUAGCCACUAGAAAGGCACACCAUGAUAUAUACUUUUAUACUGAGAGUUUGGGCUAUCUGCUAUAUGUUGAUUGCACCAGUCAAUGGCUAAGGCCCCAAACUGAUCAUGUUUCUCACUCCUUAAACAUCUCCAGUGACCCCCCCAUUGCCCAAAGGACCGGGCCCACGCUUGGCAGGCAAAACCAUUGCUAAUGUGAUCCAAACAAACUUUUCAGCAGCUUCGUGGCCUGCCUCCCCAACCCUCUCCCUCCUUUCACCGCAUCUAUGCCCAGGAGAAUGGAUUUCACCACUUCCUGAACAUAUCCUGCUCCCUCAUGCUUCUGAGCCUCUGCUUUUACCCUUCUUAUUUUGUUUCUCUGGAGAACAUUCUUCCACAUUCUUCAACAUCCAGCAUUAAUACAUCUCUGUGAAUUAUUCCCCAAUUCCUUCAGGCAGACCUGUGUGUACCGUCUUUUUGCUAAUGGGAAGAGAGCUUUACCUGCCUAUAUUAACUUACAGCAUUCUGUUGAAUACAGAGGCAUCGGUCUACAUUACUGGCCUGGGAAUGAACUCUCCAGUUUCUUCAACUGAUACAUGGGAGUAAUAGUAACCUUAUAGGGCUGUUGAGAGGAUUAGACAUGAAAGUGUGCUACUGAGCAGUGCCAGACACAAAUAAUCGCCCAAUGAAUGAUAACUGUAAUUAUUGGAUCAAAGUGUCCAUGUUCUCUUGACAGACCCCUCUACAUCUAGUAACUCAUGGCUGUGAGACAAACAUCUUGAACAGAGAUUCUAUUGGUGUGGAACCAAUCCAUUUGAGAGUCAGACCAUUGACCUUGAUCCUGUUGGCACCAUGCCCAGCCUAAUUGUAUUUGAAGAUCAGAGGUCAGGUGGGCAUUGCGUAGAACUUCAGAGAAGAGAAACGCCAGCUGCCUACUCUUACAAGCCACAAGCAUGAAAACAGAUCCUUGUGUGUUUACAUUCUGUUUGGACACAGAAGCCGGCUCAGGAUAUCUCAGCUCUAAUCCCGGUUUUCCGGCUCACCAGCGGUGUCACCUUGGGAUUCGAGUUCUCUUUGGAGCUCGGUUGCCAUGGGGACUUUGAUUUGUCUGUUUCUAACAUCUUUGAGCUUCAGAUGUGAUUCUAGACCACCUCCUUGGCAGUCUCAACUGUCUGAAACAGCCACGAACUGGAAAGUAAGCAAAGAUUGGCACGUGUUGGUAUUGCAAAGUUUGGUGCUAGAGCAUGCCUACUUUAUCUUUAGCAGAGCGCCUAAGUCCUCACCUCGAACUCAUUUACUCUGCUUUACACUCAAGUUUAAGAAGCCUGUAUCUGACUUUCCAUGUCAGUAGGGUGGGGGUACACAUAGCACUUGAGAGGCUGCUACAGUUAGGCGUGCCGGCAAGCAUAAAAGUUCAACGUCAUUCAAUUCAAUUCCAUGCAGCUGAGCUGAAGAUUCACGGACUUUCAUCAAUGUCAUCAAGGAAUGACACUGACAAGCCUGAUUCUGAAGAGAGAAGCAGAAAAACUGUAAAAGUGCAGCCAUGUGGGCCACUUAGUGUAGAAAUAAAUAGCUCCUCUCGUGGCAAUGAGUUCUUCAGGAGUGGACAUUGGCCCUGGAGUCAGAAGACUGGGAUGGGAGUGUCAGUUCUUUUUCUUACUAAGUGUGUGUGAUUUUGCUUGAGUCAUGGAAACAGAGGAGCUCCAGGUUUCUUCUCUAUAAAAUGGAAACAAUCGUACCUAGGAUAGCUUCCCUUUACUGAUAUGUGCUGCCGUUAGCCUGUUCGAUUCUCUCAGCAACCUGAGAAUUACAUUUCAUUCUGUAUGUGAGGACACCAAGGCCUAAAGAGAUUAUUGUCUGCCCAACGUCAAAUAAGUAAGAAAACCCAUCUCUAUAUCUAUUUAUACAUGGAGGGAUUGAAACUGUAAAGGUUUUAUAAACAUGUAUUAGAAUACAGCAUGAUAAUUAAUAUUCA